rnacentral:rRNA from 1 species
AGCUCCAGUAGCGUAUAUUAAAGUUGUUGCAGUUAAAAAGCUCGUAGUUGGAUUUCUGGCUUGAUGCGCCCGUCCCGCCACCGUAAGGUGUGCGAGUGAUGGUGUGCUUCUGCCAUCCUCCUGGAAACCGUUGUCUGCCCUUAACUGGGUUGGGCACGUGAUCCAGGACUUUUACUUUGAAAAAAUUAGAGUGUUUAAAGCAGGCUCGCGCUGUGAAUACAUUAGCAUGGAAUAAUGAUAUAGGACUUGGGUUCUAUUUUGUUGGUUUCCUGAACCGAAGUAAUGAUUGAUAGGGAUAGUUGGGGGUGCUAGUAUUCAGUGGCCAGAGGUGAAAUUCUUGGAUUCACUGAAGACUAACUUAUGCGAAAGCAUUCACCAAGGAUAUCUUCUUUAAUCAAGA